rnacentral:rRNA from 1 species
GGACGAACGCUGGCGGCGUGCUUAACACAUGCAAGUCGAACGGAAAGGCCCUGCUUUUGUGGGGUGCUCGAGUGGCGAACGGGUGAGUAACACGUGAGUAACCUGCCCUUGACUUUGGGAUAACUUCAGGAAACUGGGGCUAAUACCGGAUAGGAGCUCCUGCUGCAUGGUGGGGGUUGAAAGUUUCGGCGGUUGGGGAUGGACUCGCGGCUUAUCAGCUUGGUUGGUGGGGUAUGGCUUACCAA